GCAGUAGCCGCGGGAAUACAGAGGGUGCGAGCGUUAAUCGGAUUUACUGGGCGUAAAGCGUGCGUAGGCGGCUUCUUAAGUCGGAUGUGAAAUCCCUGAGCUUAACUUAGGAAUUGCAUUCGAUACUGGGAAGCUAGAGUAUGGGAGAGGAUGGUAGAAUUCCAGGUGUAGCGGUAAAAUGCGUAGAGAUCUGGAGGAAUACCGAUGGCGAAGGCAGCCAUCUGGCCUAAUACUGACGCUGAGGUACAAAAGCAUGGGGAGCAAACAGGAUUAGAUACCCCAGUAGUCCCUGUCUCUUAUAA
rnacentral:rRNA from 1 species